GAUGAACGCUGGCGGCGUGCCUAACACAUGCAAGUCGAACGGAGUUGCUUCUACCCGACAGAUCAUCUUCGGAUGUGAAGUCACCUGAAGCGCUUAGUGGCGGACGGGUGAGUAACGCGUGGGCAACCUGCCCUGCACAGGGGGAUAGCGGUUGGAAACGACCGGUAAUACCGCAUACCUUGACGAUACCGCAUGGUAAUGUCAAGAAAACGUUUAGUGGUGCAGGAUGGGCCCGCGUCCGAUUAGUUAGUUGGUGGGGUAACGGCCUACCAAGACGACGAUCGGUAGCCGACCUGAGAGGGCGGACGGCCACAUUGGGACUGAGACACGGCCCAGACUCC
rnacentral:rRNA from 1 species